rnacentral:rRNA from 1 species
AUGACGUCUGGGCAAGAGGCCAUAGAAAAACUAUCGCAGGAGCUCGUCGGCGGGCACGAUCUCAACGCGAGGCUCCUGGCAUUGCUGCGCCGCGGCCCCCUCGACGGACGUGGGCAGGAGGCGGCCGUCGCGAUGAGCCAGGAGCUCUCCCGGGUGUUCAUGGUGUCUCUGUUCAUGCUCAGGUCGGGAGACAGUAGCAGAGUGGCGGCGCCAGGGGCGACCAUCGCUCAGGGUGGCAUCGAUCAGCCGACUCCGACAAAUGAUAUUCCUAUCUGUGGUGGAGAAGAGGUUACUCCUACAAGGAAGGGUAGACAAAACGGGGUUACCUGCAAGGAGAUUACAGCCUCGCCUCAUAGUGAUGGUUACCAGUGGAGAAAAUACGGGCAAAAGAACAUUCAGAACAGAAAAUUUGCAAGGUGCUACUACAAAUGCAUGUUUAGCCAUGACCGCGGUUGCAGGGCGAAGAAGACGGUGCAGCAGCAGGAUACCAGCGGCGGCCGGCGUCCCAUGUUCCAGGUCACCUACGUGAACGAGCACAAGUGCCAACAAGAAGUAAUGCUUCCCAGGGAAUCUAUCGGUGGGAACAAGCACACGACAAGGAGCGGUCAUUUCGAUCCUCAACGCGCCAAAUUGGACGACGACGUCAUGGCCUCGUGCCUCGCCAUGGUCAUCGGCGGAGCUGCGCCUGCAGGUCUAUCGUCCUCAUCCUCACCGCCGCCGGUCGUAAGAGCGAGCCCGAGUGAUCCGGUCGGCGGGCGUACGCCGACCCUGCUGGACGUGAGCAUGGGCCUGGAUGAGACGACGGUGGCGGAGAUCUUGUGCCGCUCGCCAUUUGCUCCCGUGAAGGCA